UACGUAGGGUGCAAGCGUUGUCCGGAAUUAUUGGGCGUAAAGAGCUCGUAGGCGGCUUGUCGCGUCGUUCGUGAAAACCUGCGGCUCAACUGCAGGCUUGCGGUCGAUACGGGCAGGCUGGAGUUCGGUAGGGGAGACUGGAAUUCCUGGUGUAGCGGUGAAAUGCGCAGAUAUCAGGAGGAACACCGGUGGCGAAGGCGGGUCUCUGGGCCGA
rnacentral:rRNA from 1 species